rnacentral:rRNA from 1 species
UACGUAGGGGGCGAGCGUUGUCCGGAGUUACUGGGCGUAAAGCGCACGCAGGCGGUCUGCUAAGUUUGGAGUGACAGUUGGUGGCUUAACUGCCAAAGUGCUUCGAAAACUGACAGACUUGAGGGCUUCAGAGGGACACGGAAUUCCGGGUGGAGUGGUGAAAUGCGCAGAUAUCAGGAGGAACACCGGUGGCGAAGGCGGGUCGCUGGGCCGGAUGACUGACGCUGAGGAGCGAAAGCGUGGGGAGCGAACAGG